GUGCUUGCUUUGGCUGCACAUAUACUAAAAUUGAAACGAUACAGAGAAGAUUAACAUGGCCCCUGUGCAAGGAUGACACGCAAAUUCGUGAAAUGUUCCAUAUUAAA
ensembl:snRNA U6 U6 spliceosomal RNA